ACUCCCAAGUUAAAACUUUCCAUAUCACCAGGAAAGCCAGUCCCCCCAAAAGAAAAAUUGUUACAACGCAGACUUGCAUCAUGGCUGUUCAAGCACAAAGUCGAUGAUCAUAGCUGAUGGAAACAGCUUAACUGAGACGCUGAUUUGGGGCGUUGUAUGUGAAAACAGCAGCCAGGCACAGAUCAGCUCUAAUCACAGUCAACAUAAUGGUUUC